AGGAAGAAGAAGAAUACGAUGGAAGGGAACCUGCGUUUCUGCUUUGCAGGUUCGCCGACGGAGGAAUUGUGUUUGGGAUUUGUGGGAAGAAGGGGGAAGAACAGAAGGAGGGGAAACGAAGAAGAAGAUGUUCAUCUCUGUUGACUGUGGUGUGGUGGGCGGUGGAAUCAGUGGGCUCAGCAUCAGACUACCAACUCCCACAUGAAAUCUCUCCCAAUUUUGAAUUUAAUCCC
rnacentral:lncRNA from 1 species